UACAGAGGUCUCAAGCGUUGUUCGGAUUCAUUGGGCGUAAAGGGUGCGUAGGCGGCGCGGUAAGUCGGGUGUGAAAUCUCGGAGCUUAACUCCGAAACUGCAUUCGAUACUGCCGUGCUUGAGGACUGGAGAGGAGACUGGAAUUUACGGUGUAGCGGUGAAAUGCGUAGAUAUCGUAAGGAAGACCAGUGGCGAAGGCGGGUCUCUGGACAGUUCCUGACGCUGAGGCACGAAAGGCCAGGGGAGCAAACGGG
rnacentral:rRNA from 1 species